rnacentral:rRNA from 1 species
CGUAGGUGGCAAGCGUUGUCCGGAUUUAUUGGGUUUAAAGGGUGCGUAGGUGGCCCUGUAAGUCAGUGGUGAAAUAUCUCAGCUUAACUGAGAGGGUGCCAUUGAUACUGCAGGGCUUGAGUACAGAUGAGGUAGGCGGAAUUGACGGUGUAGCGGUGAAAUGCAUAGAUAUCGUCAAGAACACCGAUAACGAAGGCAGCUUACCAAGCUGUAACUGACACUGAGGCACGAAAGUGUGGGGAUCAAACAGGAUUAGAUACCCUGGUAGUCCACACUGUAAACGUUGAUGACUCGAUGUUGGCGAUACACAGCCAGCGUCCAAGAGCAAUCGUUAAGUCAUCCACCUGGGGAUACGCCGGCAACGGUG